UCUCAGCCUCCAAGCUCCUGCCAGGGACUCUUGAUGAGGAGUGACUGCUGGUGUUUGCACACCCACCCAAACCCAGAUCUGUUUUCCCCAAUUUAAGUGCCAAGUCACAUCAGAUCCUAUGGCCACAGUGGGACUUACAGGACAGAAGGGAGAAAUGAAUGUUAAGAUGUUGUAAUGGCACAGGAAGUGCCCAUGCUUAAAAGUUCAGUGAGACACCCUGUAAAAGAAAGAAGGAGCCCAAAGAAACAAUCCACAAAAACAGGGACUGUAAAGAUUUGGUGGCACUGUCAGGAUCCAAAGUGUACAUCUGAUGUCAUUCAGGGACAAUGAGUAACAGGUGUGGUGCCCUGCAGCUCUUCUGAGUUCUUGGUCUCAGUGCCCUUGUUGAAUCCUACCAACAUAAUUGGCUUUCCAUUCCAGGAUUAACAGCUUAUCUCUUAAUUCAGGUGAAAGAGUUUGAAGGCAAAGGAUCCUCUGAUAGAAACCAUAACUACCCCCUCAAGCAAUAAGGGCUGCCCUGAGCCAAGAAGACCCCGUGCGACUGACCCCAAGAGAACGACUGACUUGAUCCACGGCCCACCUACAUGUAUCCUCCGACCUUUCUCCCACAUUUUCCUAAUAGAAACCUGGAAGUAUUUUCAGCACUUCGGAGGCAGUCUUUGGGGUGCUAGUCCCCUGUCUUCUCAGUGUUGGCCUCACUGAAAUAAAUCACUCCCUUAUUUUGCCACCAUUCAUCUCCUUGCCUUUGGACUUUGUCAAUAUGAGGGGCCAAACCUAGCCUGUAUGGGACCCCAGAGCUUGGUGUUCCUGUACCCUUGCAACCCAGCUACAUUAUUAGUAUGUUCUUGUUACUACUGUGUGUUUUCUAGAUGGGUUAAAGCUUUCCCCUGCUAUAAGGCCAAUGCCCCCACAAUAGCAAAAAAACAUUGAAAUGUGUAUUUCCCAUCUGGGGGAUACCCCCAUGAUUUCCAGUGACUAAGGCACCCAUUUCACUGGACAAAUUGUAUGAACUUCAACAAAAAUUUUGCAAACUUCAGGG